rnacentral:tRNA from 1 species
GGGGGUUUGGCUCAGUGGUAGAGCGCUUGCCUAGCAAGCACAAGGUCCUGGGUUCGGUCCCCAGCUCCA